rnacentral:rRNA from 1 species
CAAGUCGAACGAGACCUUCGGGUCUAGUGGCGCACGGGUGCGUAACGCGUAGGCAAUCUACCCGAUACAGGGGAAUAACACGGGGAAACUCGUGCUAAUACCGCGUAAUAAAUGAGAAGGCAUCUUCUUAUUUUAAAAGCUUCGGCGGUAUCGGAAGAGCCUGCGUCCUAUUAGCUAGUUGGUAAGGUAACAGCUUACCAAGGCGACGAUAGGUAGGGGAACUGAGAGGUUGAUCCCCCACACUGGUACUGAGAUACGGACCAGACUCCUACGGGAGGCAGCAGUGAGGAAUAUUGGUCAAUGGACGGAAGUCUGAACCAGCCAUGUCGCGUGUCGGAAGACGGCCCUCUGGGUUGUAAACGGCUUUUCUUUGGGAAGAACACGCUCUUGCGAGAGCAACUGACGGUACCAAAGGAAUAAGCACCGGCUAACUACGUGCCAGCAGCCGCGGUAAUACGUAGGGUGCAAGCGUUGUCCGGAUUUAUUGGGUUUAAAGGGUGCGUAGGCGGCUAUUUAAGUCGUGGGUGAAAGCCCGUCGCUUAACGACGGAAUUGCCUGCGAUACUGGAUAGCUUGAGUAUCGUUAAGGUUGGCGGAAUGGGAGGUGUAGCGGUGAAAUGCAUAGAUACCUUCCAGAACACCGAUUGCGUAGGCAGCUGACUAGGCGAUAACUUACGCUGAGGCACGAAAGCGUGGGGAGCGAACAGGAUUAGAUACCCUGGUAG